rnacentral:rRNA from 1 species
GCAGUCGAACGAGAAACGGUCUAGCUUGCUAGAUGCAGUCUAAGUGGCGCACGGGUGAGUAAUGUAUAGCUAAUGUGCCCCUUGGAGGGGGAUAACAGUUGGAAACGGCUGCUAAUACCCCAUACUCCUUCGUUCUUAAUGAGUGAAGGGAAAGUUUUUUCGCCAAGGGAUCAGGCUAUAUGGUAUCAGCUAGUUGGUGAGGUAACGGCUCACCAAGGAAAUGACGCCUAACUGGUCUGAGAAGAUGAUCACUCACACUGGAACUGACACACGGCCCACACUCCUACGGGAGGCAGCAGUGGGGAAUAUUGCACAGUGGAGGAAACUCUGAUGCACCAGCGCCGCGUGGAGGAUGACACAUUUCGGUGGGUAAACUCCUUUUAUAUGGAAAGAAAAUGACGGUACCAUAUGAAUAAACACCGGCUAACUCCGUGCCA